CACGUAGGCACCAAGCGUUGUCCGGAUUUAUUGGGCGUAAAGAGCUCGUAGGCGGUUGCGUAAGUCGGGUGUGAAAACUCUGGGCUUAACCCAGAGCCGCCACCCGAUACUGCUCUGACUUGAGUUCGGUAGGGGAGCAGGGAAUUCCUAGUGUAGCGGUGAAAUGCGCAGAUAUUAGGAGGAACACCGGUGGCGAAGGCGCUGCUCUGGGCCGAUACUGACGCUGAGGAGCGAAAGUGUGGGGAGCGAACAGG
rnacentral:rRNA from 1 species